AAGACUAUACUUUCAGGGAUCAUUUCUAUAGUUCAUUACUAGAGAAGUUUCUCUGAAUGUGUAGAGCACCAGAAACUAUGAGGAGGAGGCACAGAGUUCUCUCCUGAGCAUGAAGCUGGCACUUGGUGUUGCUUUGCUGCAGCUGCCACUUACCAUUGGUGAUUGUUCUUGUCUUCCUCUUGGAGAGUAAGAGAAAGAGAAUGCAGUCUGAGAGG
rnacentral:snoRNA from 10 species